AGGACCGAAAAGGGGCGUAUGCGGAGCGGGGCCGCACCGGAGUUUUUUCUUUCGUUUAUGGCGAAAAAAAAGGAGCUUAGAAAAAACCCAGGGUUUCAUCCAAAAUCCCGUUCACCUUUUCGUAGGAAAGAAUUGCCUCCAGAACCCUCUUCGAAUCGCCCCCUUUCCUUCUUCCACCUUGGGACAGGAGCUGCGGCUGUUUACAACAAAAAAUGUUUAUCAAUCUGUCUCUUUUUCAUCUUUUUUUGGUAGCUUGUUAAGGUAUAUGUGUUUUGUUGGAAGAUUUCAAUCUUGUUUUAUUUGCAUUCUUUUUAAGGAUUUUGGUUGAUAUUUAUGUUGUUGAUCUUGAUUUGUUUCUGAAGUAGAUUUGUUUGCUCGAAGAAUCGAAUAAAUUGAAGCUUCGGCUUCUGAGAUGCGAAUCAUUGCUUGUUUGUUCAAUUGAUUGAUCCGAAGAUUUUCGUGGAGUAAUCGUAUGUACAUUAAAGGACAUUGAUGUGCUAACCGAUAGGUUGAAUCUUUGGUUUUUGAGAGUUGGCUUAUUGUGGGUUUUCUUGUAUAGCUUGCCCUAAAGUUACGGAGUAUUUGGGUGAAGUAAUGAGAAAGCAUUUGGACUUUCAAAGGACUUGGCUCGAAGGUGUUUGCCCAAUUGGUUAGCUGUUAUAGGCAAAUCUUAAAAAGGCUCACAAAUAUAUUUGAAGUAGAGGGUGCUGGAAUUGCAUCUAACUAGACAAAUUACUGUAUACAAGGAAAAAAUAGGAAUUUUCGAUUGUUUACUUGAGCAGAUAAUAUUACUGAUAAGUUAGUGGAAAAGGGUAUUUUUACCCUAAUCCACUUGUUUUUUGUUAUUCUCUCUUAAAAUAAUACAUUAAACAUAGGAAUAGUUUCGGGUCUGCUAAAGAGAAAAAUUACCCUUAGUUUUCUUCUUAUUUUGCUUGCUUGGAAUUUUCUUUGGAUUGCGAAAUGCUGAAACAGAAGAUUUUCCUCUGGAGCAGUUCCAUGGAUUCUUGAGAACCAGAAUGUAUGAUAUAGCUUGAGUGUCUAGAAGGUAAAUUAUAUGUUAACUUUGCCAUGCUCUCUUUUCUUUGUCAUUCUUUCCCAAAUAAAUGAUGUUCUCUAGCUGCAGCUUAGGCUCACAGAGUUGUAGUAAUGGAGCAUUGCUUUUUAGUCACUCGAGAAGUUCAGUAGUUGCUUCCAGAAAGGGAGGCUGAAGAUUCCCUUCAAAUAUGGGAAAUUUUUGGGGAAAACUUGGGAAAGGCAAUGCAAUUGAAGAAUGCUUCCAUUGAAAUGGGGUCAUUUGUUUGCAUGCUUUUUCAGAUUUGUCACACAUUUCACCUGCAACAUUUGUCUAUCUCCUGAAGGAAUGUUAUGUAUGUGGUGGAUGUGAGUGGGAUCAAGGUUCAUCGCAUUGCUCUGAACUAUCCGGUUUGGGGCGUACUGAACCAUAUUGAGGGGGAAUCGAGAUGGUUCCUCUAUUUGGUUUGAAAAAUUAUAUGAAUCGUUUCGAACUAAGCAGUUCUGAGCUGUACCGGUGUGAAUCGGGUGGUUCUCACCGGCUCAGGCUUGGUUCGGGCUCUACGUUGCCCCUUCGCUUCAAUAAUAGAAGAGGGAUGCUGAGAAGGUCUCCUGUGCCUUCUCAGCUCCUCUUCCUUUCAUUUUUUUUUAAAUCUUGAAAAAAGAGGGAAAAUGCUGAAUUUUGCACCAUUUGAGCCGGAUGCAAGUUAAAAUUAGAGCAGGUGCGGCGUAUUAGUGCAGAGUGUAAAGGUAGGUGGGGGGACAAUGGUGUUCAUGGUGGAAUGCUUCCAUGCAUUCCAAUUCCCUUGCAUCAUGGUCCAUAUCCGACUAGUGGUGGUGGCACCCUCAUCCACCCUGUUUGCUUUUGCCACCAUCAAAAGGAUGAGCCUCAGCCCUCCUAUGCUGGUAGGAGACAGGAAGCUGCUGCACAGCCGGAGGUUCAGUAAGGAUGACAAGCGCAACAGAAGUGAAGAUCAGAAGAGCAGACCCAUCUUUGCUAUGGUUGCUGUGAAGAAGGCCUAUGAUGAUGACGAGCUACUACUGCCCUCCACCAAGACCUCCCAUGGUGGCGCCAGUGUCUAGUUCAAUCCCUUUCUAGAUGCAGACGAAGAUAAUGAUGAUGGAGGCAAUAAGGAUGAUGAGAUGGAGGCAUAGGAGGAGGAAGAGUUUCAUGGGUACCCAGCGAAGGAUAAUAACAAUAGUAAUUGCUCCCGGUCCCCAUCUUGCAAGGCCACUACGGCACGAGGGCCCAUGCCGAGGGAGUAAAUGCCAGUGUGAUGCCAGAGGCAGACUUAGGUGUCCUCUGAGUAGAGGCACCGAAACUACAUUGAACGCUCAAGCUAAAGGCCCUUGUGACUGUGCCCCUGCUUAGUUGGUGUCACCCCACUUCGAUCGAGCUAGCGACGGUGCUAGAUGUGAGCAAGGAUAUGACAGAGGCCAAGAUCCAGAUGCUGAAGUAGGCCAUUUGUCUGGCCAUCUCAUCUUUGGGCUUUGCCAACCACCUCGCAUGGUUGCCUUCUGGCUUGUUGCUACCAAACACCUUCCCUCCGUCCGAUGUCAUGACUUGGCCAGUGCUUUGCCCACCUGAUUGUGGAGUGCUUGGUGGUUUCCAGCAAUGGCCAAGGUUUGUGUCAGCGAUACCCUCUGGAAGGCCACCAAGGUAUUUGAAGACUGCCAGGAGUGCCGCUACACCACCAUUACGCUCCUGUUCGAUGGCCAGCAGCAGUGGAUGCCAAGAAAGAUGGUUUCCGUUAUCCUGGUAUCCGUUGCUGGUGGCAGCCUUUAUGAUACAAAUCGCCUCCUCUGAAUCCCCAUACACACAUCUGGCUUUGGGGACACGCCACAGUAGCAAUCACCCAAGCACAACAACUACUUGGUGACACCAAUGUAGGAUGCCUUUGCCAUGUGCAUGCGUGACUUGUGAGCAUGGUCAUGCAGGACUCGUCUUCCUGUCUAGGGUAAGCUCCAUUGUCUACGCUCAUGGCAGGUUGGUGGUGGCCCUCAGUAGCUUUGUCCAACAUGAAGAAGACCUCUACGUGGAGCAGCAGGAACUGUUGGUGGAGUUCACCACCACCAGAAUUCCCUCUCGGUGAAGUGCAAGCAAGUAUAGGGAUCCAGCCUUUCAGGAGGUGAUCUGCGAGGGUGAGAGGACUCUGCUUCUGCCUUAUCAAUCUUACUACCUCUCCAAAACCUAUUCGUCACCAUGCAUGCUGUGGCCGAAUUAUGGCGACUGGCUGAGCACUUGGCAUGCACCACGACCCUCUUGCUUCUCCUCCGCCCGCUCCUUGCUGCUACAAUCCACUAGUUGGAGGCUGAGCUUGCUGAUUCUGGUGGCAGCGAGAGGGACAGUGGCAGCUACUUUCCCUAUGCCAGAGGAAAAUUGAGAUGAAUGGGAAGAGAGGCAGAGUGGGAUAGUCCAGCAGGGUGGUGGACUCUGAUGAGGUGACGGCAGACUUUGGGAGUGGCGAGAGGAUGAGUUAGGUGGCUAUGGUUACGGGCUUUACCUGCUAGCGACGGAGAGCCAGGGGCUUGGGCUUUAUGGAAGAUUUUGGGUUUUAAGAUGGAAAGAGUAUUUAUGUUAUUUGGAACAGUGUUGGAAUGGUGUUGGAUGGCUAAUAGGGUAAAGGAUGAUAUGGGGUCAAUCAAGUAACCUGAGGGACUAAAUUAAAAUUUUUUAAUCAGAUGGAGUCUGAGUGGAACUUGGGUUUAGUAGCUGGGGUGAGAGCAUAAUUUUCACUUUUUCUUUUUUAAAUGCCCAUAUGGACUAUCAUUUGUGAUCAGGAUUUCAAUAGAUUUGAAAAGCCUUCCAAUGGAAGAUACUGAUAUACUAUCCUUUGAAUGGAUGAUUGGUUCA